UAAGUGGGGAGGGGGAAGAGAAAAUGCGUAAUAAAAAUCAAAUGAAAGUUAAACGAAAUGGCGCGGAAAGCAGACGUUUCCGCGAACCUUCGGACAACAAACAGAUCCUGAAGGGGUUCCAGCGACACUAAAUCCAGCCCUGCCAACGUAUCUCUCGGAUAAGCAUAAGACAUCGGUUGGAGCAAAUGAUAAUCUGCAAGUACUAUAUCCUUCGCAUAUGCCGGAUGAGGUGAAACAUCCCAACCAGGUUCCAACAAUGUGUCCUUGGUCAAUCUCGUCACGUGAGAGAUCAAGCAUUGUCACGCAGUAAUCUACCUGGCUGGCGACCUUUCCUUGCAAAGGAAAAGGUAAAACGACCCUGCAAAGGUGCAGAAAAAUAUAGAUAAGCGUGCCAUCUGUAGGCUCCAGACGCAUCUAAUUUCUCCAAAGCUAACAUUUAGGGACGAUAUUCCAAACACGUAGCAAGUGUAAAGUAUUUCUUUCGGGUUUUCAAGCUGAAACCAUGUCACCCAUGAUAUUUAUAUAAAAAUAGAAAAAAGAACUGAAUCUAGAAUCAUAUGGUCAGGUUUAACCUAACCUAACUCAAGUCCGGUAUAAGAUUACCUGAAACUUUUACACAUGCGCAUCAUAACUACAUGUUCUUGUGUCAUGACCAAUGAUUGUUCAAGAGAA
rnacentral:misc_RNA from 1 species